AAUGCUUUCGCAGUAGUUCGUCUUUAAAAAUCUAAGAAUUUCACCUCUGACAGUUAAAUACGAAUGCCCCCAACCGUCCCUAUUAAUCAUUACUUCAGUCCUAGAAACCAACAAAAUAGGGCCGAAAUCCUAUCUUAUUAUUCCAUGCUGCAGUAUUCAAGGCGACAAGCCUGCUUGAAACACUCUAAUUUUCUCAAAGUAAAAGUCCUGGAAAAAACUCCACACAAUGAAGUGUGGAGAAAUCCAGAAGGAUGCUAGAAUUCACCAAGUGCACACCCCUGAGGGCGGACUGGCUGCUUCCAGCAGAAAUCCAACUACGAGCUUUUUAACUGCAACAACUUUAAUAUACGCUAUUGGAGCUGGAAUUACCGCGGCUGCUGGCACCAGACUUGCCCUCCAAUUGUUACUCUGAAAGGGGUUUGGAUUCCUAUCAUUCCAAUCACUAGAAAUGAAAUUUCCAGUGUUGUUAUUUCUUGUCACUACCUCCCUGAAUCAGGAUUGGGUAAUUUGCGCGCCUGCUGCCUUCCUUAGAUGUGGUAGCCGUUUCUCAGGCUCCCUCUCCGGAAUCGAACCCUAAUUCCCCGUUACCCGUCACUGCCACGGUAGUCCAAUACAGUACCGUCGAAAGCUGAUAGGUCAGAAACUUGAAUGAUCCGUCGCAGACCGAAGUCAACGCGAUCCGUUCGGUUACUAUGAAUCACCUGAGGACCACCGGAAGGUGGGUUGGUUCUGUAUCUAAUAAACACUGCCCUUCCAGGGGAAGAGGCAUGUGCGCAUGUAUUAGCCAUAGAAUUACCACGGUUAUCCAUGUAGUAAAGACCAUCAAAUAAACUAUAACUGUUUUAAUGAGCCAUUCGCAGUUUAGCCGUAUAAAAGCUUAUACUUAGACAUGCAUGGCUUAAUCUUUAAGACAAGCAUAUGA